rnacentral:rRNA from 1 species
GACGAACGCUGGCGGCGUGCCUAAUACAUGCAAGUAGAACGCUGAAGGAGGAGCUUGCUCUUCUGGAUGAGUUGCGAACGGGUGAGUAACGCGUAGGUAACCUGCCUGGUAGCGGGGGAUAACUAUUGGAAACGAUAGCUAAUACCGCAUAAGAGUAGAUGUUGCAUGACAUUUGCUUAAAAGGUGCAAUUGCAUCACUACCAGAUGGACCUGCGUUGUAUUAGCUAGUUGGUGGGGUAACGGCUCACCAAGGCGACGAUACAUAGCCGACCUGAGAGGGUGAUCGGCCACACUGGGACUGAGACACGGCCCAGACUCCUACGGGAGGCAGCAGUAGGGAAUCUUCGGCAAUGGACGGAAGUCUGACCGAGCAACGCCGCGUGAGUGAAGAAGGUUUUCGGAUCGUAAAGCCCUGUUGUAAGAGAAGAACGAGUGUGAGAGUGGAAAGUUCACACUGUGACGGUAUCUUACCAGAAAGGGACGGCUAACUACGUG